GAUGAACGCUAGCUACAGGCUUAACACAUGCAAGUCGAGGAGUAACGAGAAGAAAGCUUGCUUUCCUUGUCGACGACCGGCGCACGGGUGAGUAACGCGUAUCCAACCUGCCCCCAACUAGGGAAUAACCUUGCGAAAGUAAGACUAAUACCCUAUAAUUUCCUCAGAUGUCAUCUGACGAGGAAUAAAGAUUUAUCGGUUGUGGAUGGGGAUGCGUCUGAUUAGCUUGUUGGCGGGGUAACGGCCCACCAAGGCAACGAUCAGUAGGGGUUCUGAGAGGAAGGUCCCCCACAUUGGAACUGAGACACGGUCCAAACUCCUACGGGAGGCAGCAGUGAGGAAUAUUGGUCAAUGGGCGGAAGCCUGAACCAGCCAAGUAGCGUGCAGGAUGACGGCCCUAUGGGUUGUAAACUGCUUUUAUACAGGAAUAAAGUUAGCCACGUGUGGUUAUUUGUAGGUACUGUAUGAAUAAGGACCGGCUAAUUCCGUGCCAGCAGCCGCGGUAA
rnacentral:rRNA from 1 species